GCUAGGUGCUCAUUUCCAGCGCUGAGCUUGGUGGUGGUAGACUUUAGUACCCAGAGUCAGGCAAGCAGGAACAAACAAGGACAGCUGGAUAAAAGGAGUUUCUGGACCUCCAAAGCUGAGGACACUAUUCAAUGGCAAGCCCAUUAAUGUUCUGUGACUCUUCAGGGGCUAUCAGACAGCUCCCUCCUUAGACUUUAAUGGUAUGAUCGCUUCUGACAGAGGUCAUUAAGGCUGCAAAUAAAAGGCAGAAGGAAACCAACCAGGUAUGAACAACUUCCUUCUAGAAAUCUUUCUUUGAGCUCAUUCAUAGGUUGAGCAAGAAAAUGUAUUAAUGCUAAAUGGUGGAUAACUGCCUAUGUCCUCACAAAUGUCCAUUGAAUGAUUGCAGUGACAGAAUUAUGUGUUCAGAGAUGUUCAGCACAUUUGAAUCCCUAAAGCUACUUGUGCCUGCCAUGAUAUGCCGUCUGCGAAGUGAUGCUGCCUAUGUAGUAAUGUCUCUCACUCCAACAGAGACCCCUCUCAUGGAGGAGCAACAGGCCAAGGGGCUCCACAGGAAUGAUUCCAGCUCUCAGUGAUGCAAUCUGUCUGGGAACGAGAGGAAGACCAUCUGUUGACCCUCAGAAUCAACGUGCUUUCCUGAACCUCUUUCCCUGUAGUUAGUGUCCCUGCUCUGUUUUCUGCAUACCUUGCCAAGCCCCCCAAUUUCUAGGGUUUAGAAAGCCUCCACUUUAUGGAGUAUGAGAUUCUCCAUCAUUCCCCUGGGGCCUACGCUUGUUCCUGCUCAGCCCCCACUGGACAAUGGCUUUCUGGAGGAGAGGCCGAGGAUGGGACUUGGGACUUAUCUAGAAUACAGUCCUCUAAAUUCAGGCUGAAGGGGGACCCCCAAGAUGUCCUUCCUUCCCAGGUCAAACUUGAACUCAAUUAAAAUGGUG
rnacentral:lncRNA from 1 species